AAUGAUUCUUGGCCUAAUGGCUAAGAUCAAAUGUAGUAUCUGUUCUUAUCACUUUAAAAUAUCCUCUAAAUUUUCUGUAAUUAAAUCAGUGUGUGUGUUGUGGUGAGCAGACAGAUUAACCAGUGAAAUAAAAUGUAAUUCCAUAGAAAACCCUA
rnacentral:snRNA from 1 species